rnacentral:rRNA from 1 species
GAUGAACGCUGGCGGCGUGCUUAACACAUGCAAGUCGAACGGGAAACCCUUUAUUGAAGCCUCGGCAGUUCUAGACGGUUUCUAGUGGCGGCUGGGGGAGUAACGAGCGGGUAACCUGCCCUAUUAAGGGGGAUAAAAAACAGAAAUGGUAGCAAAUAUCGCCCAAGCGUACAGGACCGUAUGGUUCGGUGUGUAAAGAUCUGGUGGCUUAGGAUGGACCCGAGUCGGAUUAGCUCGUUGGCAAGGUAACGGCCCACCAAGGCGACGAUCCAUAGCCGGCCUGAGAGGGUGAACGGCCACAUUGGGACUGAGACACGGCCCAGACUCCUACGGGAGGCAGCAGUGGGGAAUAUUGCACAAUGGGGGAAACCCUGAUGCAGCAACGCCGCGUGAGUGAAGAAGUAUCUCGGGAUGUAAACUUCUAUCAGCAGGGAAGAUAAUGACGGUACCGGGCUAAGAAGCCCCGGCUAACUACGUG